rnacentral:sRNA from 1 species
UUAGAGAAAAAAACAAAGGAGGGGAAACCCUUCUUUCUCUAAAACACUUCACCCCAACUUGUGCACCUUUGCGUAAACCAGUAGGAUUGGCUACCUUAACAAAGUGGCUUCAUCCGAGCGUUUGCGAUUCAACUAUAUAUACCCCAUUAGAAAGUCUUUGAAUGUAAAUCAUUAUUAUGCGUUAUUCGCAAAAUAAAUACAACUUUCAGCAACGGAUCUCUUGGCUCUCGCAUCGAUGAAGAACGCAGCGAAAUGCGAUAAGUAAUGUGAAUUGCAGAAUUCAGUGAAUCAUCGAAUCUUUGAACGCACCUUGCACCCUUUGGCAUUCCGAAGGGUACGCCUGUUUGAGUGUCGUGAUUUCCUCCACCUAUAGAAUUUAUUCUAAAGGCUGGGUUUUGGGGGUUUAAAUCUGCAGGUUUCUAAUCUGCUCCCCUUGAAUGCAUUAGUGAAGGCUUUUCUUUGUUACUUGCAAUCGUUAAAGGCGUGAUAGAUCUCUAGUAGAACUACGUCUGUUGAUUGUUAAACGAAAGAAGAGACUUUGCUUCUAACUGUCUUUGGACAAAACAUUCAAACUUGACCUCAAAUCAGGCGGGACUAC